AUUUAAUAAACUUUUUUAAAUUUUAAAAUGGAAACAAAUGCGAAAUUAGUGUGGGACGACAUAGUGACAAAAAAAUUCUGUGCCUUAUUAGAGAGUCAAGAAAUGAUCUGGAAUCAGCAGCAUCCAGACCAUAAAAAUUCUACAUUAGUGCUAAAUGGUUUAUCAUCCAUUAGCCAAAGCAUGGAAGUUGAAUUUCCUCAGCAUGAUACAACUGUGUCAUGCAUAAAGAAGAAGAUGAAGAACUUCAAGGAUUUUUAUUAAAAAUAUUUAUAUUUUUGUAAUAUUAUUGUAAAUAUAUAUAUUUAUAUAUAAAACAAAGUAGUAUUC